rnacentral:piRNA from 1 species
UGCAGGUUGAAUCUCUAGCUUUGUUCUGGAU